rnacentral:ribozyme from 1 species
UGCCCAGCAACUCCUAUCCCUACAUCCUCGUGGUACUGGCCAGUGUACCUUAGGGAAGAUCGAGUAACCAACCCCGGUGGGAACUCUGGUCGUAUGCUGACAGGGAAUG